CGCCGCGGCCUCCCUCAGUCUCGCACCGCUGAGCACUCGCUGCCUCCUUCCUCUUCCUCAUCCUCGUUGUCGCCUCCCUGGUGGCCGCAGAGGGGCGGGGGGCUGCGUGGCCAGAGGGGGAGGGGCGGCCUGGCCCCCGCCGCGCGGGGAAAGGCGGUAGGGGAGGGUGGAAAAACCACAAAAAAAAAGUGUUUUUGAGGCCCCAGAGCUGUCCCGGCCCUGGAGGGACCCGCGAGGGCCCCCCCGGGCUGGGAGAGGCUGGGGCAGGAGCCGUGUUGGGGAGGGGGGGCGCCCGAGGGGAGAACAACAAUUAGGCAAAGAUAUCGAAGGAUUGAAGGCUGUUAUCCCCUUAUGUAACCCUGGAUACUCCGCAAAACUAAUCGAGGCCUUUCUAAUACGGAUUAUUCAUCACAAGUUUCAAGCUCAUUAAACAACAACAACAAAAAUUU